AGAAUGAACGCUGGCGGCGUGGUUAAGACAUGCAAGUCGAACGGGAUUAACGGUGUAGCAAUACAUCGUUGAUCCAGUGGCGAACGGGUGAGUAACACGUGAGCAACCUGCCCUUAGCUCCGGGAUAGCUCCGGGAAACCGGAAUUAAUACCGGAUAUGACCUAGGCCGACAUCGGCUGUGGUGGAAAGUUUUUCGGCUGGGGAUGGACUCGCGGCCUAUCAGCUUGUUGGUGGGGUAAUGGCCUACCAAGGCGACGACGGGUA
rnacentral:rRNA from 1 species